UACGUAGGGUGCGAGCGUUAAUCGGAAUUACUGGGCGUAAAGCGUGCGCAGGCGGCCAUGCAAGACAGAUGUGAAAUCCCCGGGCUCAACCUGGGAACUGCAUUUGUGACUGCAUGGCUAGAGUACGGUAGAGGGGGAUGGAAUUCCGCGUGUAGCAGUGAAAUGCGUAGAUAUGCGGAGGAACACCGAUGGCGAAGGCAAUCCCCUGGACCUGUACUGACGCUCAUGCACGAAAGCGUGGGGAGCAAACAGG
rnacentral:rRNA from 1 species